rnacentral:tRNA from 1 species
GGCUUGAUGGUCUAGUAGUAUGAUUCCUUGUUAGGGUGAGAGUAUGCGUCGUUCGAGGAGGUCCUGGGUUCAAUUCCCAGUCAAGCCC